UAGGAGAGUGGGUAGUCUGCUGGGUGA
rnacentral:piRNA from 1 species